rnacentral:rRNA from 1 species
UACGAAGGGGGCUAGCGUUGUUCGGAUUUACUGGGCGUAAAGCGCACGUAGGCGGUUUGUUAAGUCAGGGGUGAAAUCCCACAGCUCAACUGUGGAACUGCCUUUGAUACUGGCAAGCUAGAGUCCGGAAGAGGUAAGUGGAACUCCUAGUGUAGAGGUGGAAUUCGUAGAUAUUAGGAAGAACACCAGUGGCGAAGGCGGCUUACUGGUCCGGGAACUGACGCUGAGGUGCGAAAGCGUGGGGAGCGAACAGG